CUACGGGAGGCAGCAGUGGGGAAUUUUGGACAAUGGGGGAAACCCUGAUCCAGCCAUUCCGCGUGAGUGAAGAAGGCCUUCGGGUUGUAAAGCUCUUUUGUCCGGAACGAAACGGUGGCGGUGAAUAUCCGCCACUACUGACGGUACCGGAAGAAUAAGCACCGGCUAACUACGUGCCAGCAGCCGCGGUAAUACGUAGGGUGCGGGCGUUAAUCGGAAUUACUGGGCGUAAAGCGUGCGCAGGCGGUUUUGUAAGCCAGAUGUGAAAUCCCCGGGCUUAACCUGGGAAUGGCAUUUGGGACUGCAAGGCUCGAGUAUGGCAGAGGGGGCUAGAAUUCCUGGUGUAGCAGUGAAAUGCGUAGAUAUCAGGAGGAAUACCGAUGGCGAAGGCAGGUCCCUGGGCUGACACUGACGCUCAUGCACGAAAGCGUGGGGAGCAAACAGGAUUAGAUACCCUGGUAGUCC
rnacentral:rRNA from 1 species